UACAGAGGGUGCAAGCGUUAAUCGGAAUUACUGGGCGUAAAGCGCGCGUAGGUGGUUUGUUAAGUUGGAUGUGAAAGCCCCGGGCUCAACCUGGGAACUGCAUUCAAAACUGACAAGCUAGAGUAUGGUAGAGGGUGGUGGAAUUUCCUGUGUAGCGGUGAAAUGCGUAGAUAUCGUAAGGAAGACCAGUGGCGAAGGCGAGUCUCUGGACAGUUACUGACGCUGAGGCACGAAGGCCAGGGGAGCAAACGGG
rnacentral:rRNA from 1 species